rnacentral:rRNA from 1 species
AUGGAUACAUUGGAUAGCUUAGUUUUGUUCUAUAUACUUUGUAGUUUCAAUGAUGAGACAUAUGUGUCAACUAUGAGUAUUGGCUCCAACAAUUCUCAUUGGUCUCAAACCAAUGAAGUGCAUUUAGAUGAUCAUGAGUUUGAGGUGGACGAGGAUGGUGAGGGUAUCGUCGAUGCACCGAAAGGAAGAGCGGGCAACUACACCAUGGACAAAGACAUCUUGCUAUGCAAUACAUGUUGA